AGAGUUUGAUCCUGGCUCAGGAUGAACGCUGGCGGCGUGUCUAAGGCAUGCAAGUCUAAUGGUUGCUUGCAACCAUGGCAAACGGGAGAGUAACACUUUGGUAACCUACCUCCGACUCGGGCAUAACCUGGAGAAAUCCGGGAUAAUACCCGAUAGACAUGAGGGGACGUAUGUCAUUCUCAUGUAAAGAUUCGUCGGUCGGAGAGGGGCCUAAGGCCUAUCAGCUUGAUGGUGCGGGUAAAAGCCCACCAUGGCUACGACGGGUAGCGGGUGUGAGAGCAUGACCCGUCUCACUGGGACUGAGACACUGCCCAGACUCCUACGGGAGGCUGCAGUCGAGAAUCUUCCGCAAUGCGCGAAAGCGUGACGGAGCGACGCCGCGUGCAUGAAGACGCCCUUCGGGGUGUAAAAUGCUUUUCUCUGGGAAGAAACAAUGACGGUACCAGAGGAAUAAGGGGCUGCUAACCUCGUGCCAGCAGCAGCGGUAAUACGAGGGCCCCAAGCGUUAUCCGGAUUUAUUGGGCGUAAAGGGUCCGCAGGCUGCUCGACACAUCUCCUGUUAAAUCUAUCGGCCCAACCGGUAGACCGCGGGAGAGAUGGUCGAGCUAGAGGCCGGGAGAGGCGAGCGGAAUUGCCGGUGUAGGGGUUAAAUCCGUUAAUAUCGGCAGGAACACCAAAUGCGAAGGCAGCUCGCUGGAACGCGCCUGACGCUCAGGGACGAAAGCGUGGGUAGCGAAUAGGAUUAGAUACCCUAGUAGUCCACGCUGUAAACGAUGGAUGCAAAGCAUUGGCAGUAUCGACCCUGUCAGUGCUGUCUACCUAAGUAAACACCUUAAGCAUCCCGCCUGGGGAGUACGAGCGCAAGCUUAAAACUCAAAGGAAUAGACGGGGACCCGCACAAGCGGUGGAGCAUGUGGUUUAAUUCGACGCUAAGCGAGGAACCUCACCCAGACUUGACAUCUGGCUGCAGAUCCCGAGAAAUCGGGAAGCCUUCGAGGGUGCCAGACAGGUGCUGCAUGGUUGUCGUCAGCUCGUGUCGUGAGAUGUACCGUUAAGUCGGGAAACGAGCGCAACCCCUAUCUUGCGUUUCAUGUGUCGCAAGAAACUGCCCGCUUUAAGUGGGAGGAAGGUGGGGACGACGUCAAAUCAGCAUGGUCCUUACGUCUGGGGCGACACACGUGCUACAAUGGAGAGUACAGCGGGACGCCAAGCCGCGAGGUGGAGCAAAUCCCUCAAAACUCUUCUAAGUUCGGAUUGGAGUCUGCAACUCGACUCCAUGAAGUCGGAAUCGCUAGUAAACGCGCAUCAACCAUGACGCGUUGAAUACGUUAUCGGGUCUUGUACUCACCGCCCGUCACGUCAAGAGAGCCGGCAAUACCCGAAUCCCGAACUUGUUCGGGAGAAGGUGGGGCUGGUGAUAGGGACGAAGUCGUAACAAGGCA
rnacentral:rRNA from 1 species